GACGAAGGUGGCGAGCGUUGUUCGGAAUCACUGGGCAUAAAGCGCGCGUAGGCGGCUAUGUAAGUCAGGUGUGAAAGCCCUCGGCUCAACCGAGGAACUGCGCCUGAUACUGCAUGGCUUGAGGUCCGGAGGGGAGAGUGGAAUUCCCAGUGGAGCGGUGAAAUGCGUAGAGAUCGGGAAGAACGCCGGCGGCGAAAGCGACUCUCUGGUCGGAAUCUGACGCUGAGGCGCGAAAGCUAGGGGAGCAAACGGG
rnacentral:rRNA from 1 species